rnacentral:rRNA from 1 species
GUCCACGCAGUAAACGAUGAUUACUAGCUGUUUGCGAUACACAGUAAGCGGCACAGCGAAAGCGUUAAGUAAUCCACCUGGGGAGUACGCCGGCAACGGUGAAACUCAAAGGAAUUGACGGGGCCCGCACAAGCGGAGGAACAUGUGGUUUAAUUCGAUGAUACGCGAGGAACCUUACCCGGGUUUGAACGUAGGGAGACAGGAGUGGAACAUUCUAUUCAGCAAUGACUGCCUACGAGGUGCUGCAUGGUUGUCGU